AAAAUGGAUCCGUAACUUCGG
rnacentral:snRNA from 1 species